ensembl:lncRNA
GAGACCUGUUGUCUGUAACCAGUAACUAGUCUAGGGAGAGACCUGUUGUCUGUAACCAGUAACUGGUCUAGGGAGAGACCUGUUGUCUUUAGUUAAAUUUAUUUAAAUGAAUGUAAUACACAUUAUUAUAUCCUUCUGGCUAAAUCCCAAAUGGCACCCUAAAUGACCAGUUCAAAAGUAGUGCACUUUAUAGGGAACAGGGUGUCAUUUGGGCCAAAUAUAGGAUAAUUUGACUGUAGCCUUCUGCGUUCAGCAGAGACCACUUUUUCCUUGUUGGCACUUUAUCUGUUGGUUAGUAGGUGUUAUUAUAUUAUUGAACCUCUUGAGCCAUACGCUAUUGGGUUAGUCAGACUGAUCAGCAAGUCUCAAUAAGGUGUUGGGAUCAACAAGUCUCAAAAAGGUGUUGGGUUAGUCAGGCUGAUCAACAAGUCUCAAUAAGGUGUUGGCAUCAACAAGUCUCAAUAAGGUGUUGGGUUAGUCAGGCUGAUCAACAAGUCUCAAUAAGGUGUUGGGUUAGUCAGGCUGAUCAGCAAGUCUCAAGUCUCAAACACCUUAGUAAUAUAUUCUGUCCAUGGACUCAUGCUACUCAUAUUCACUGGGGUUGUGUGUCCCAAAUGGC